rnacentral:lncRNA from 1 species
ACUUUAGAAUAACCAUACAAGUAAAGAGUUUCACAUACAAUUCACAUAAUUGCAAAUCAAUUCAAGUAGCCUUCAAUGGAUAUUCAAUGAACACAAUAUACAAAUCAUGGAUACAAAUGGAAUAUCAUCAUCUCUAUGAUUGCCUCUAGGGCAUACCUCCAACAUAUAUAUCAAACAAGGAAACAAAUUUGCACCUGGCACCUGAUUUGUCCGGGGGGUGAUAGAAAUUUCACGGAGGGUACGGCAGGCGGGUAAUCUAAAGUUGAGGUGAAAAUAGUAGGAGGAAAACUCUUCUAAUACUUUCCAACCUCCCUUGACCUCACAGGUGGGUCCUCUUUACGAGGAAAUUCUUUUAGGUGAAAAAUAUUUUGAUUUUGAUUUGUUUUGAAUCCUUACAGUAUAGAUUUCUCACAAGAAUCACUUCUCUCCCUAUCCUCUCACGUACUAAUAGUGUACAAUAGUGUAAGUACUCCCUCCAUCCUGUAAUACGAGGUAUCCAAGUAUUUAAAAUUUAUUUUCAAAUAUAAGGUAUUGUAGUUUGGAUGACUGCCAUUUACUUCGUCCGUUCCAAAUUGUAAGUCAUUCUAACUUUUUUGGAGAGUCAAGCAUCUCAAGUUUGACCAAAUUUAUACAAUAAAUCACUAAAAUUUAUGAUACCAAAUAUGUACGAUUAGAUUCUUUAUUAAAUAUAUUU